rnacentral:rRNA from 1 species
CCUACGGGAGGCAGCAGUGAGGAAUAUUGGUCAAUGGACGCAAGUCUGAACCAGCCAAGCCGCGUGCAGGAAGACGGUUCUAUGAGUUGUAAACUUCUUUUGUACGAGGGUAAACGCAGAUACGCGUAUCUGUCUGAAAGUACCGUACGAAUAAGGAUCGGCUAACUCCGUGCCAGCAGCCGCGGUAAUACGGAGGAUUCAAGCGUUAUCCGGAUUUAUUGGGUUUAAAGGGUGCGUAGGCGGUCGGAUAAGUUAGCGGUGAAAUCCCGGGGCUCAACUUCGGAAUUGCCUGUGAAACUGGCCGGCUAGAGAGUAGGUGAGGUAGGCGGAAUGUAUGGUGUAGCGGUGAAAUGCUUAGAGAUCACGCAGAACACCGAUUGCGAAGGCAGCUUACCAGGCUACUUCUGACGUUGAGGCACGAAAGCGUGGGGAGCAAACAGGAUUAGAUACCCGAGUAGUC